GAUUGCUCCUCUCUCCCUCAUCAAGUCAAAAAUCCCAGAUCUAGGUUCAAAACCUUUGUUUGGGUUAUUCCCCUCUGUGUGUGCACACCUGGUAACAGUUUCACCCAUGCACACGGCUCUGUGUAGAAUAAAUGCUGUUGGAACUGGCCAAGGUGGCCCGUGGUCCUGGCUGUACGUGUGGCUUGCCAGCUUUGCACCAGGCAUCUGCUGCAGUGGAGCAGGGCCUGCUGUGUGACUGCAUCCCCAGCCACCCAAAUAAUCCCCUGUUUGCCAAGGGAACCAUUGCUGGAUCAGCACUGGAUGUCAUCUGCUCAACCUGGCCCCAUCCCAGGACCCCAUGGCAAAUCCCCUGGGUGACAUCUGACAUGUCUGGCUUGUAAAACCCACUCAGAUCUGUCCCAGCCUCUUUGAAUUAACGCUGCUUGUGUCUUAAGCCUCUCAGUCAUGUGAGGAUUUUGUAAUGUGGGACACGGCAUCAGCUGAACUGACCCAAGCACCUCAUGGCUGCCUUCUCCACGGCUGCACACGUCCACAGGGCACACCAGCUGCUUCUCACCUGAUCUGGACAUCUAAGAGAAACUCAUCCGGGGUUAAGGCAAUGUCAACACCUCCCACAAUUGUCACUGGGGAGAGGUCAGCUCCUCCCAGAAAGCUGCUUCCCUCCCAUGAUGUUUAUCCCAAGCUUAUCCCACACACAUAACUGUAGAAGAAGCCAUGGGGACCGUCUUAGGUCCAGACAAGGAAUUCUUUGGUGCCUAAGAGAGAUGCAAACUUGGAUCUGCAGCCCCAGCUGUAAAAAUGUUACAACUCUGAAAGUCUCUCCAGAGGCGUGAAGUAAAGCUGGUUGGAAAUAACUCCAUCUUGGACCUUUUGGCAUUUCCCUUUCAGAAGGCAGAGCAAACCUGGCCUUGGCCCUGAUGCAGCUGAGAUCAGGAGAUAAUUGCCUCAUUUUCUGGGCUUUUCAGCACAGGCAGCUUCAUCCUGCCUCCCCCAACAGACUGCAAUGUCUACAGCAAGGAGCGAAACACCACCUCCCAAAAGAUGGCAUGGAGCACCAAGGAGAUCCAGAUCAGUUCUACAACAGCCAGGACAGGUGCCUGUACCAGACAGAAAGGAUUUAGGAACCGGUGCACUACUGUCCACCACUGCCUUCUCAGGCAGACAGAUCCUUUUGCAGUCAGGCCUUUAGCAUUUCAGCCUUAGAGCAGGUUGUAAUAAUUAGGAUCUUUUCCACCCCCCUGUCAGGUAGGGAAGGACUAAUUAGCUUCACUGUAUGUUUGGGAAGCCCAGAAAGGAGAGUACAUUCUCCUUGUGUUAACUAAGCUGUUUAGUCCAAUGGUUAAUUGCAGCUGCCUAAUGUGGGAUUCACAUUCUCUGAACCUGAGAGAAGCAGAGAAGAGAAUGAUCAAAAACAAUUCUUAUCUCAUUUGCUGCUCCUGUUGUUUUGUGAACGUGUGGAAUGUGUUGGGAGAUUAUUUACCUGAAGGAAUUUGGUAAUUGGAUUCUGGUGUGAGCGUUUUGUUUUCUUGACCAAUCUCUGCAAGCUGUAGCGUGACAAUCUGUCAGGAGAAAGUCACGAGAUCUCGUUGAGUGCUUGUGCAGUUUCAGUUUAGAUGUAGUGUAAUAUAGUGUAAUAUAGUAUCGUAUAAUAUAGAAUAAUAAAGUAAUUAAUUAGCCUUCUGAUAUGGAACCAGAUGCAUCAUUCUUCCCACAUGUUGGGAGCGCCUGGCAAAAAUAUAGCCUAACAGUCAGGGGAGCAAGGCCAGCUCCUCUGCAAGGCUUUUCAGUGCUAUUGGACAAAUCUGACAGUGGGAAUAUCCUGCCUUUCCCUGCUGAUCAGUGGUUUGGUCUUCAGCUGGGAUCAAAUGCAAGACGGGUUGAAUCUCAUCUUGAGGGAAGAGGGGCCUCAGAGAUGUGUAUGAGUUAGGGCAGGGAACAAGCCCUCCCUAAGCUCUCCUUAGUCACAGCCAUGUGCUCAAUCCACUGAGCCACUUCCUCUCUUAUUUGUGUAAACCGAGGGGAUUUGGGAUUCCAAUAUGAUAGACAAGGAUUUAACUACUUCCUCCCUCCUCCCAAAUAACUUUCCCUGAAAUUAACAUGGUAAACAGGGCCCCUGCUCUCAAAAAACCCUUUUUGUUUGGUGUUGUUUUUGUAACUGAUCCUCUGCUGGAAAACAAGCAACUCGCAUUUCUGCUAAAAACAACCCAAGGGAACCUCUUAAUAAUAACACUACAAGCAGUCUCAUACCCUGCUCCACUGGGUGACAAAAGAGUGGGUACCCAGCCAUGGAUGGGUUGGCAGUCCUGUGGUAUAAAGCAGCUCUGGGGCAGCUGGCAGCAGAAAACAAAGAUCAAGACAAGAUGGAGAAAGAGGCAGUCACAGAUGUGAAAAACAGGACUGUGCUACUCCUUCUACCUGGAGAAUAGUGAGAAACCUCCUGUCUAUCACAUAGUCUAGGAAUAUGUUUUGGAACUGUGCCUUCUAAAUGGCUUUACUCAAGGCUAGGCCUAAAAGCACAAAGUGGCUUGCAGUGAUUUCUUAGCUAGGUCUCAAAGGUGCAGUGCAGAGAGAAGCGAAAGGAAUCCCUUUUGUGGAAGGGAAAAUGAUGGCCCAGAGCAUCAGAUGACUGAGCAGCCAAGUUGGGAAUCCCCCAAUGCUGCCCCCAGACUAAGUUGUUCCUUCCUUAUGUAAGGAGGUAGGUUUUUCACAGGCUGGGGCUGGGUUUUCUUUGACACAGGUUUCCUUCCCCAAGGAGCAGAAAUGAGAGCACACAACCAGCCCUUGGCCACAGCCUCGCUGCUGUGAGAGGCACAGCAGCAAGGAGAGUGUCUUGGUAUGGUAGGACAGGAGCUCCAGCCAGGACAGCUGAGGUGAAAAUCCUGCACAAAUCCAUAUGAGACACCCUUGCAGCUCAAGACAUCCACCAGCUAAUCCUCCCUUUGGCAAUCUCCCCACUUCCAUCCAAGGAGUUUGGGUUACGACGGCUGCUGUCUUAAUGAGUGUGACUCUGAGGAGGAUGGCUUCUCCAGGACAAAAAUAGAGUACUCUGCAUGAUGUUGGUCACCUUGCCUCUUAAGAGAACCAGGCACUUCACAAACUGCUCAAAGCUUGCUUCACAAGCCUCAGAAGGGAGGUGAGUCCUCACCCAGGAAGCUGUGCACACAGAGCUGGGUCGAGGGUAGCCAAGUGCCUGUCUCGUGCUUCAAAAUAAUCCUGACCUGAACUGGGCACAGAAUGUGCAUCUCCCACCAUGCAGGUUUCUAAGCAGUUUGUGAGGCCAGGCCCUGGCCCUGGCUGUUCACUGUCACACAGACCUAGCAGUGUUCUUUCUUUGGCAGAUGGAAGGUGUUAACUCAUGUUUCCUGGCCACACUUCAAUUUGGCUGGCUAUAUUUUUACUUUCUGAUAUUCCUGCCACACCCAAUCAACCAGUUUUGACCAUUUGCUGAUUCCCCCCAUCACUUGUUCCUGUUGGUUGUGGUGAUGGCUUGUGAAGGCUGACCUAGAACAGAGGCUAAAGAGAGUUAAAGAAUAAAUCAGGGAUUUUUAAAAGGUCUUAAUGGAUCCACCUUGGGCUGCACAAGAGCCCAGCCAGGGCUACACCCAAGAUCAACCAAAAUGGUCACAAAAUGGACAGCCGGUCACGGGGUCUCUCACUUUUACAAGUUCUGCUCUAUUUACAUAUUGAAGUUAAUUGUCCAAUUCCAGCUUUAGCCCAUGCAGUCCCAUCCUUCUUGUUUUUCUCUCUUCAGCCCACGUUGU